GACGAACGCUGGCGGCGUGCUUAACACAUGCAAGUCGAACGGAAAGGCCUGUCCUUCCUUGUGUUGGACGGGUACUCGAGUGGCGAACGGGUGAGUAACACGUGAGUGAUCUGCCCCCAACUUGGGUAUAAGCCUGGGAAACUGGGUCUAAUUCCCGAUAGGACUGCAGGGUGGUGCCUGUGGUGGAAAACGAUUUUCUAGUGGUUGGGGAUGAGCUCGCGGCCUAUCAGCUUGUUGGUGGGGUAAUGGCCUACCAAGGCGGCGACGGGUAGCCGGCCUGAGAGGGUGGACGGCCACAUUGGGACUGGGAGACGGCCCAGACUCCUACGGGAGGCAGCAGGGGGGAAUAUUGCACAAUGGGCGGAAGCCUGAUGCAGCGACGCCGCGUGGGGGAUGACGGCCUUCGGGUUGUAAACUCCUUUCGACCGCGAGGAAGCCGCCUGGUUGGAAGGGUGGUGACGGUAGUGGUAGAAGAAGCACUGGCUAACUACGUG
rnacentral:rRNA from 1 species